rnacentral:rRNA from 1 species
GGUGUACCAGUUGUCACGCCAGUGGCACGGCUGGAAAGCCGCAUCCGGAAGGGAUAAACGCUGAAAGCAUCUAAGCGUGAAGCCCACCCCGAGAUGAGACUUCUCAUCAGAAAUGAGUAAGACUCCUUAUAGACUAUGAGGUUGAUAGGCCGCAAGUGGAAGCGCAGCGAUGUGCGGAGCGAUGCGGUACUAAUAAGUCGAGGUCUUAACUUA